rnacentral:lncRNA from 1 species
CAAAAAAGAUACUGCAACAAGGAGGUCAUUUAGGAAAUUUGGAGAAAGCUGUUUUGUAGUUAUGGUGGAUAGAAACCAGAUUGAAUUGAGAAGGCACAACGUAUAAAGACAGUUUUUUCAUGGUGUUGAUGUAAAAAGGAGACUAGUGGUAGGGUGUUGCAGGAGGGAGAAUUCCAAAGAAGGUGAAGAAGUUUUAGGUACCUGUGAGAUAGCUAGAUAGAUAUGUCCUAGUGGCAUGUUUAAUACACAGAUCUAAAACUUAAGAGAAAAAUAUAAGUGGAGAAAAAAAGCAAGCACAGAAUAAAUAUGACACAUUUACACAUGCAUUAAAAAAUUAUGAAGAGUGGGCCUAGGAGGGAUAAGACUUAUACUUUUCAUUUUACAUCUAUCUUUAUUGCUUGAAAUUAUUUUAUUAUGCACAUAUUAUUUUACAGAAAGCUACUUUUUUUUUUUCUUUUUUGAGACAGUCUCGCUCUGUCACCCAGGCUGGAGUGCAGUGGCACAUCUCAGCUCAUUGCAACCUCUGAUUCCCAGGUUCAAGCAAUUCUCCUGCCUCAGCCUCUUGAGUAGCUGGGACUACAGGUGCACGCCACCAUGCCUGGCUAAUUUUUUGUAUUUUUAGUAGAGACGGGGUUUCGUUAUGUUGGCCAGGCUGGUCUCAAACUCUUGACCUCGUGAUCCACUCUCCUCGGCCUCCUAAAGUGCUGGGAUUACAGGCGUGAGCCAUGGUACCUGGCCAGAAAACUACUUUUUAGAAAGCCCUGUGAUAUAUAGGCCAGAAAUUCUGAAACAUCAACAUUUCGGUGGUAGUUGAAGCCAUAGAUUUGGAUAAGCUCCCCAGAAAAGAGCAGAGGGCUAAGAAGAGUGCUCUCGGAAAUUCCAACAUUUAAGGCACAAGUAGAAAAAGAGCUCUUGGAGAAUCUUUGAAAAGGAACAGCGAGUGAAGAAGAAGAAAACCUGGGAGAUAAUUGUCACAGAAUCAAAGGGAAGAGUAUUUCAAGGGGGUGGAUGUUGAAAGUGUCAGAUGUCCCCACAGAGGCAGCUGAUAGGAAAGGUGCUCUUACCUCUGAACCUAGGUUUCUUGGAAGCUUGGCACAAGAGUCAAAUCCAGAUCUUGAACCUUUCCCCAAGUAUCACUGGGCAGUACAACCCCCAGGCUAUUCUGCCCUUAUGCAUCAUGGCUGCCAGUCCCAGUCUUUCAGUGAGUCUUCAAGUCAACACCAGCCAGUGCUGGCACCAUCAAUCUUACUACACUUAAUAAUGAUACCCUGGCUGGGUGUGGUGGCUCACACCUGUAAUCCCAAUACUUUGGCCAGGAGUUCAAGAUCAGCCUGGGCAACAUAGUGAGAGACCCCAUUUCUACAAAAUUUUUUUUUAAUUAGGUGGGUGUGCACUUGCCUGUAGUCCCAGCUAUUUGGGAGGCUGAGGUGGGAGGAUCACCUGAGACUGAGGAGUUUGAGGUUGCAGUGAGUCCUGAUGGCACCAUUGCACUCCAACCUGAGUGACAUAGCGAGACCCUGUUUCAAAAAAAAAGAAGAAGAAUGCUACCCUCUCCCAGUCCUUACUAUGGCCCUGAAGCUGCCAUCAACAAAAACCUGUUUUUCUAGAAAUGGUGAAAUUAAGGAAUUGAAAGUGGGAGUAUUCGUUGGAGUUGGAGGUCAGGAACUAACUGUAUUUUUCAUGGGUUUUUGUAAAACCUCCCAGGAUGAUAGUAAGAGUUGGCACAAAAAGAGGUUAAUAGGUGCUGAAGGCUGGGUUUGGAGGAUCACUUGAGCCCAGGAGUUUGAGGCUGCAGUGAGCUAUGAUUAUUGCCACUGCACUACAAAAAGAAAAAGAAAAAAAAAAGGUGUUAAAGGGCAGUAAAGCCAGAUGGCAUAAGCUUCAAAGGGAGAAGAAUUUUUGCAAGAGGAUGGAAGCACAGUGGUCUAAAAGUAGCAGUGGGUAGCAAAGAGAAAGCUGAUACCUUGCCACGCCUUCCUACAGGAGCAAGAAUAAACAGCCUGUAGAAGGUUGAAGGGAAAAGGUGUUCAUUAAUUGGGGAAAGUAAAAAAUUUCUACCUCACCUCUGACCAUUUUUUCCUCUAUACCCACUGGAACACUUUUCUUUUGUAAACAAUCUCCCUUAUGUAUUCAUUGUCUUCGUAGAUUGCUCCUUAGCUUUUCCUAGAGGAAUAGCCAUCAGGACAGAGGUAGCUGUGAUGUGUGGAAUGCAGAUGUAAUCCACAUAAGCCCGCAAAAAAGACAGACACAGGCACUACUUCUUAAAGGAGAAUAAUAUUCUCCCUCCGUAUCCAUAUUCUGAAGUGGUUUGACACUCAGUAGUCUUGGCACCAUGAUGGUAAUUCCUUUCCAUGAACCCACCUCUCCUCUCCAAACCUAACCCAAUUCCAUUCAGAGGAUUAGAGAAAGCUGAGGAUUGCCUUUUCUAGUCAUAGUAUGAUGUCCAGUCUGCUUAUUGCAACCAAUGGGGAAGAGAACAGAUCACUUUCUUCACUGAGAAUGGAAAGCUUAGCCAGGCACGGUGGCUCAUGCCUGUAAUCCCAGCACUUUGGGAGGCUGAGGCAGGAGGAUCACUUGAGGUCAGGAGUUCGAGACCAGCCUGGCCAACAUGUUGAAACGCCAUCUCUACUAAAAAAUAAACAAAUUAGCUGGGUGUGGUGGCAUGCACUUGUAAUCCCAGCUACUCGGGAGUCUGAGGCAGGAGAAUUGCUUGAACCUGAGAGGUGGAAGUUGCAGUAAGCCAAGAUCACGCCACUGUACUCCAGCCUGGGCAACAGAAUUGAACUCUGUCUC